rnacentral:lncRNA from 1 species
GGCGUGGAGAACGACAGCUUCGAGGUGGCCGAGAGCCAGGCCCUGAUGAGCCGCCUGCAGUGGGACGGCUCCUCCGACAUCUCCCCCUCCGACUCGGCCUCCUCCAAAGCCAGUACAAACAACUCCGAGUCCCGCAAGACCAAGAAGAAGAAGCCGCACCUGGGGCUGGUGAGCGGCGCCCCAGGGCUCGGCUCCAGCAAGAAGAAGAAGCCCAAGCCCCCCGCCCCCCACACCCCCAGCAUCUACGACGACAUCAACAACUGAGCCCCGCCGAGCUGGGGAGGGGCAGGACGGACAGAGGGACGGACAGGGGCCAGGACAGCCCCCAGGCACCCCCCGGGCCAGACACAAUGUGGGUACCGGGGCACAGAGGACUCAGCUGUCGCUGGAGUGGGGCUGGAUUGGGGGAGCCCCUGUUAGUGCCCCCCUUCCUCCCCCCUGCCCCGGUGCCUCUAUUUAUUCUGUGACAGUUUUUGUACCUGGGGCUCCUGUUGGGGGUCACCCUCAGACAUGGGGGUACAGCCCCCCCUUCCCUCCCUCCCAGCACCCCCAAAGCCAGCUGUGCCCCCCACACCCGCUCCUCACUCACCCCAGUGGGGUGGGGGGCACCUGGACACUCUGGGCCUGGGUCAGGGGGUGGUGAAUCCCCCCUGCCCUGGGGUUUUGGGGUGAGCCCCUGCCCUGGGCUGGCACUCGCCGGUCGGGCUGGCUCAGGAGGGGGGGUCACACUCAGAGGACAAGGGAGCACCCCGUCACCCCCAGAUCUGCUCAGCUGUGCCUGCAUUUGCCUGUUGGGGGUCCCGAGGGCCUGGCAGUGCCCACACAGGGGGUCACAGGGGGCUGCAUGCUGCAUCCUUCAUGUUCGGAGCUGCUGUGACCAUCCCUGUGCCAAACUGUUUGGGGAGGGGGCACCCCAACCUGCCAGAGUGGAGCUGGGAAUGGAGCAGAACUGGGGGGGAAGCCCAGCCCAGCCUCAGUGCAGAGCCCCCCACUCCUGG